AAGAAUUGUAUGAGCAAAGUUUCAAACUUAAACGGAUGACGUAUGCAAGCAUGGCCAUUCUCUUGGAUUCCAAAUUGCAGUUGGGAAAUUCACUUCUCUUUCAUUUCUUGGAAGCAUUUGAUCCACCGAAUAUUACUAUAAACAGGGGUAACAGAGCCCAUUUGCUUUGUUUCUUAUACACAGAAAAAAAACCCAACUUGUACACCAUCUCUUUCUCUCUCUCUGACGCUGAAGAUAAGUAUGAUCAUUUAUUUGAAGCUAUGGAUCCCUUACUACGCUCUAGUGAAGAAGCUGCUGAAGAAGGGACGUGCAUAGAUAAUGCGGUGGAGGAGCUCACAUGUGCCUGUGGAUUUGCAGAUUCUCUUCUCUCUCUAAAGUAUACUAUGCCCCUCUCUCUCUCUCUCCCUCCCUUCUUCCCGUUCUUCUCUUUCUGGUGUUUUUCUUUCCUCUUUCUUCUCCAUUUCACUUGUCCAUUUCUGCUCCCCUGUUCCCCCCCUUCUUCAAUUGCUUUUACAGAAAGUGAAAUUGUAAAGCUAGAUCGAGUCUCUUCGACAGCGUCAAACGUUGGGUCUUCAUCUGAAUCAUUGGAAUCGCAUUUGAAGACUGGGUCUUCAUCUCUCUCUCGAUCCAUCGUCGAAGAUUGGGUCUUUGUCUGCUUCUUGAUUUUGCUUGGAAAUCCCCAUUACUUCCUCCUUUAUUUCAAUUGAACUUUUUGGGUUUUGAAGACAGAAAGUCAGAGAGAGAGAGAGAGAGAGAGAGAGGAAGUCGGGUUUUGCUCUGGGCAAGACUUGAACUUGCGUCUCGCGCAGCUGCGAUUUGGUGAUUGUGUGGAGGCUUGGUUAGAGAUCUUUCUUCGGGGUUGCAGCGUCUAUUAUUAGUGCUUCAGUUAGAUUUGGCGAGUCAUGGCACCAUGGAACUCAUUGUGCCGCAAAGCCUGGAGGCUACCCUCUAGAAAUGGUUUAUUACACUUUAAUUACGUGGGGUGUCAUUGGUUCACGACGUAUCAAUCAUGAUAGAUACUAUGCUAAGUUGAUAUUAUCAUUCAUCUUCGUUUUUGUUGUCGUUGAUCUUUUUAUUAUCGAUCACUUCUCGUAAGUGGAACUUAAUCAGAGAAAUUAAGCUUCCGAUCAUACUUGCAGCAACAAAAAGAAUGCCGCUUGCUAUUCCAGCCAAUUUAAACUCAUGGUUUUUGGUAGGAUUAGCUUUUCUGAUGGUUGUUAGUCAUUAUAUGACGAGCUGGUCACUGAAUCACCAAUAUUUAGUGUCUGUUUUGCUAAUAGCUAUGACAGAAGUGAUGAAUGUCUUAGGGUAUCUACUGACAAUGGUUAUCUCUGAGAUGGGGAUGUCAAUUGAAAGAUUAGUGUCCACCUUGCAAAAUGACCAACACCUCCAAGCAUGAGAGUUGAUGGUUGCUCUUAGGUGUGGCACUAAUUAGCUAUAAGCUUUUAUGUUUUUGGUUGUGCUGUACAUGACUUCCAUAGUUUAGUACUUUAAUUUUUUUUUUAAACCUUGUCAAUCAAGGUAAUUUUUUUGGAUGGCAAACUCUUAUUUAAGAGGAAAGUUUCUUCACACAGAAUUGUGGGGACGUUCAAAGGAGGAAUGGAUUUGGUUUAAUUUAAGUCUACUGUCUUUAUCUUUGCAGUUUUUUUUUCCUGUAUUGCGAUUAAGUUCGUGUCAAAUUUUUUUUCCUGUAUAUCUUUUCGAAAGUGGAAGAUAAUGUGACACAAAUCUCUCCCAAUUAUCCUUGGAGCGACACAAGGAGUUCCACCUACUCUACCGGUGACUAUACAUGUCUAGUCACUAGUAGAGUAGGUGAAACUCCUUGUGUCGCUCCAAGGAUAAUUGGGAGAUUUAUGUGUCGCAUUAUCUUCCACUUCCAAGAAGAUAUAAAUGAAAAAAACACUUGACGCAAACUUAAUCGCAAUAGAGGAAAAAAAGAACAAUUGCAAAGAUAAAGACAGUUGACCUAAAUUAAACCGAAUCUAUUCCUCCUUUGAACGUCCCCACAAUUCUGCGUGAAGAAACUUUCCUCUUAAACAAGAGUCUGCCAUCCAAAAAAAUUACUUUGAUCGACAAGGUUUAAAAAAAAAAAUAGUACUAAACUACGGAAGUCAUGCAUGACACAACCGAUCGAAAGAUAAAAGCUCAUAGCUAAUUUGUGCCACACCUAAGAUUAACCCUUAUGCCUGGUGCUGUUGGACAUUUUGCAAGGGGACACUAAUCUUUCAAUUAAGAUCCCCAUCUUGGGGAUAACCAUUGUCAUUAGAUACCGUAAGACAUUCAUCACUCCAGUUCCAUCUAUUAGCGAAACAAACACUAAAUAUUGGUGAUUCGGCAACCAACUUGUCAUGUAAUGACUAGCAACCAUUGGAAAAACUAAUCCUACCAAACACCAUGAGUUUAAAUUGGCUGGAACAGAAGGCGGCAUUCCUUUUGUUGCUGAGUAUGAUUGGAAGCUUAAUUUCUCCGAUUAAGUUCCACUUACGAUAAUAAAAGAUAAGUGACAGCAAAAGCAACGACGAAUGAUAAUAUCAACUUAGCAUAAUUCUAUAAUGAAUGAUACGUCAUGAACCAAUGACACCCCACAUCAUCGUAGUAUUGUAAACCAUAUUUAGAGGUCAGCCUCCAGGCUUUUCGGCACGAUGAGUUCCAUGGUUGUGGGGGUGAUUUUGGGAGGUGGAUCAGAUAAGGAGAUUGAGAAGCUGAGGCAAUUCGCGAGAUAUUUUGGAGUUAUUCAAUGGGACAAUGAGCUUCAACAGAACCUAACGAUCGAAGUCGAGGAGAUGUGACCAAGAUAUCGAUCAAACCCACCUCGAUUCAAUCAACAUUUUGUGUGGUGGCCAAAACUUUGCGGCCAAAACAGUAUUUUUCGUGCUAUGUGUUACAUUUUUGCUCCCUUUCUUGGAAGGGCCGACAUAUAUGAAUAAGUGGCCCUUGAUGUGUAUUCCUUCUUGAUCCACUGCUAUUGAUCCUGCUGAUCCUGGAAUUCUGAUUGAAGCUGACAAGACAUAGCCCAUAGAUAGCACAAAAUAAAUUCAAGGGACAAUGAGCAUACAUGCGGCCUUCAAAGUAGCUGAGGAUUUAAUAGGGAAAAUCUCUUGGAGUGGCUUUUGUGGGAUGCGCUCCGAGAAGG